rnacentral:rRNA from 1 species
AUGGCUCAGAGUGAACGCUGGCGGCAGGCCUAAUACAUGCAAGUCGAACGGCAGCACAGCAGAGCUUGCUCUGUGGGUGGCGAGUGGCGGACGGGUGAGGAAUACAUGGGAAUCUGCCCAGUCGUGGGGGAUAACGUAGGGAAACUUACGCUAAUACCGCAUGCGCCCUUCGGGGGAAAGCCGGGGACCUUCGGGCCUGGCGCGAUUGGAUGAGCCCAUGUCGGAUUAGCUAGUUGGCGGGGUAAUGGCCCACCAAGGCGACGAUCCGUAGCUGGUCUGAGAGGAUGAUCAGCCACACUGGAACUGAGACACGGUCCAGACUCCUACGGGAGGCAGCAGUAGGGAAUAUUGGACAAUGGGCGCAAGCCUGAUCCAGCCAUGCCGCGUGAGUGAAGAAGGCCCUCGGGUUGUAAAGCUCUUUUGUCCGGAAAGAAAAGCGCCGGGUUAAUACCCUGGUGUCCUGACGGUACCGGAAGAAUAAGCACCGGCUAACUUCGUG